rnacentral:rRNA from 1 species
UACGGAGGGAGCUAGCGUUGUUCGGAAUUACUGGGCGUAAAGCGCACGUAGGCGGCUUUGUAAGUUAGAGGUGAAAGCCCGGGGCUCAACUCCGGAACUGCCUUUAAGACUGCAUCGCUAGAAUCCGGGAGAGGUGAGUGGAAUUCCGAGUGUAGAGGUGAAAUUCGUAGAUAUUCGGAAGAACACCAGUGGCGAAAGGCGGCUCACUGGACCGGUACUGACGCUGAGGU